GAUGGGUGGAUCAGCGAGAGAGAGUCGUCCUGGUCUUGUCGCAACAGUGUCCCGAGAGAGCCGUCUUCUUUGGGAGCUCCAAGUAUGAGAGCGAGGCCUCUGUGGAGGAUAUUCAACUCCGACGUACAUUGGAUAAGCAAGGAGUCUACCGAAGUUUCAUUCAGCCUGCCGUAACGAAAGCGAAAAUUUUUCGGGUUGAAAAAUCGUUCGAAACGGAUUCUUACGCACUAAAUUAUCACGUAUUUCGUCCAUGAAGACUCGUCGAAUUCACAAAACUGUCGUUGUUCCUCACAUGAUCAAGUCUCGCAAUUCACCCAAAGUCCAUGGGUCGUACUAUUUUUAAUUUCUCUCACUCGCUGCACCAGCAACACCGGAAGGUUGAAUAAACGAUAAAUCGCAACAUCACGCACGAGCAAGGGGGGCUGUAUUUAAAAAAAACGAAAGAGAAUGGAAAAUAUUUUUCUUCUUUCACACCAUUCUCACCAUUUGUCACAACUGGGCUGAGACUUGAAAAUUUUUCACGUCUACUGCGAGAUAAGAGACGACGAAUGGCUUAUAAUUCGAGUGUUCGAUAACGCGCGCGGUCACACGCGAAAAGGGGAGAUAAUAUUGAAAGAGAAUAAAAGUUCACUUAUAUUUCUCGUACGAGAGAAGAGUAGGAGAGAAAGAGAGCGAGAUUCUCAGAUAAAUUUUUAUUCCCGAUGUCUGUGAUGUGUCGAAUGUUUCCGUCUCGAGCCUCGAAGACCCCGCACAACGAUCUAGACAAUUGUGAUCGAGAGAAUAUAAUUUGCUAGAUGAGAAAUAAUAAGAAAAAAAACAAACAUAUACAUAUACUGUGAGGAGUCUUUGUUGGCGUAUAGCAAUCGCAUAAUGAUUAUCAAGGUCAUCGAAUAUAAAGACUCAAUCGAACGGAAGUAUCUAUGUAGCUGUAAAGAGACGUCGAAGGAAUACAAAUUUUUGUUUUCCUUUUCCUUUCUUUCAGAGACUCUGCCAACGUACAGUGUUUGUGUACUUGAGAUUUCUUCUUGUGACAAUUCAUUCUAGAUUGUUUAUCGCCAAUAAAAAUUUCCCCGAAAAUCGGGACUUUACUCCAAA